AAUAGAUACCCAGGUAGUCCACGCCGUAAACGAUGAGUGCUAAGUGUUAGAGGGUUUCCGCCCUUUAGUGCUGCAGCAAACGCAUUAAGCACUCCGCCUGGGGAGUACGACCGCAAGGUUGAAACUCAAAGGAAUUGACGGGGGCCCGCACAAGCGGUGGAGCAUGUGGUUUAAUUCGAAGCAACGCGAAGAACCUUACCAGGUCUUGACAUCCUCUGACAAUCCUAGAGAUAGGACCUUCCCCUUCGGGGGACAGAGUGACAGGUGGUGCAUGGUUGUCAUCAGCUCGUGUCGUGAGAUGUUGGGUUAAGUCCCGCAACGAGCGCAACCCUUGAUCUUAGUUGCCAGCAUUCAGUUGGGCACUCUAAGGUGACUGCCGGUGACAACCGGAGGAAGGUGGGGAUGACGUCAAAUCAUCAUGCCCCUUAUGACCUGGGCUACACACGUGCUACAAUGGAUGGUACAAAGGGCUGCAAGACCGCGAGGUUCAGCCAAUCCCAUAAAACCAUUCUCAGUUCGGAUUGU
rnacentral:rRNA from 1 species